GUUCGUGCUCGGCGCCGAGCUCGGCAUGCUCCUCGCCGCCACAACUCCCUCGCUAGCACAAGUUCGUGACCCGCUCAUCAACGGCCUCCGCCCCAUCUCGCUGGUGCGCGGUGCGGGGACUGGCCAACAUCUACUCAUCGACGACCUCGUAACCUCCCUCAUCAUCAUGCUCAAAUCCACCAGGACCAGGCCCUACUCCACCUGCAGCGACCUCGUCGUGUGCAAUACCAGAUUUAGAAGCUCGUUCCCUCGUCUACUUCCCUGGAGCAUCAACCGGCUGCUGGAGUACGUAAUGUCGGCCAGAUAACCAGGAGUGGUUUCGAGUCCUUUUCACAUCUUGAACAUCCCUUCUCGGAAUCGAAGCUUUUUUUGUACCCGACUUGAGCCAUGCUUCUUAUUUCGACGCAAUCCCAAGUGAUGCUAUUGAUGUUGAGUGUGAUGCCAUCAUGACCAGGCACCGUUAUUCGCCACCGACUGUUAUGUUGGUGAUUAAGAGCUUAUCCAUGAUCAUUUGUAGCAUGUGUUGAGACUUCGGCAAGAUGGAAGUGAAAAUAGUGUUGCGUAAUUGAUGCUUUGAACUAUUUAUGCUUCCUCAGAAUUAUGUUUGUUCAGUUCAGAUA